rnacentral:rRNA from 1 species
ACGCACGCUGGCGGCGUGCUUCACACAUGCAAGUCGCACGGGAUUUAGUAGACAGAAGCCUCGGCUAAAGAUUACUAAUGAGAGUGGCGAACGGGUGAGUAACGCGUGAGCAACCUGCCUAUGACAGUGGGAUAGCCUCGGGAAACCGGGAUUAAUACCGCAUAAAAUCGUAGAAACACAUGUUUUAACGGUCAAAGAUUUAUCGGUCAUAGAUGGGCUCGCGUCUGAUUAGCUAGUUGGUGAGAUAACAGCCCACCAAGGCGACGAUCAGUAGCCGGUCUGAGAGGAUGAACGGCCACAUUGGAACUGAGACACGGUCCAAACUCCUACGGGAGGCAGCAGUGGGGAAUAUUGCACAAUGGGGGAAACCCUGAUGCAGCGACGCCGCGUGAACGAAGAAGGUAUUCGUAUCGUAAAGUUCUGUCCUAUGGGAAGAUAAUGACAGUACCAUAGAAGAAAGCUCCGGCUAAAUACGU